rnacentral:rRNA from 1 species
GACGAACGCUGGCGGCGUGCCUAACACAUGCAAGUCGAGCGAAUGAAGUUCCUUCGGGAAUGGAUUUAGCGGCGGACGGGUGAGUAACACGUGGGCAACCUGCCUCAUAGAGGGGAAUAGCCUUCCGAAAGGGAGAUUAAUACCGCAUAAGAUUGUAGUAUCGCAUGAUACAGCAAUUAAAGGAGCAAUCCGCUAUGAGAUGGGCCCGCGGCGCAUUAGCUAGUUGGUGAGGUAACGGCUCACCAAGGCCACGAUGCGUAGCCGACCUGAGAGGGUGAUCGGCCACAUUGGGACUGAGACACGGCCCAGACUCCUACGGGAGGCAGCAGUGGGGAAUAUUGCACAAUGGGGGAAACCCUGAUGCAGCAACGCCGCGUGAGUGAUGACGGCCUUCGGGUUGUAAAGCUCUGUCUUCAGGGACGAUAAGACGGUACCUGAGGAGGAAGCCACGGCUAACUACGUG